GGUGCUCUGAUGGGGGACCCUUCAAUGCUUAAGCUAAUCGGAACUUGAGAACAAGGAAGAAAGAAGAGAGAAAAAUGGAAAGAGAGUACGGAUAUUAUUCUUCAUGGGUGUGCUUACUUGCUUUACGAUUUUCUGGUUAUCUAUUUUUAUAGAGAUGGAGUUGUAGGCCAUUAUGCCUAAAUUUAGUGGGCUGUUAGGCUCUAACAUUAUAGGUUGUUAGGUCUUAAUCGGAUAAGCUGG
rnacentral:lncRNA from 1 species